GAUCUAGGAACCACAACCUGCCGACUCGUGGACUGAUGUGUUAGAUGCAACAAAGAACACUAAGGUUUGCUAUCAGGUAAGGAAUAGCUUCAGCAUUCCGAAUGUGGAGUCUCUUGAAACGGAAGAUUGUUUGUUCCUUAAUAUCUAUACACCUCAAAAACCAGUUCAUAAAAAUAAUCUCGCUGUAAUAGUAUGGAUAUAUGGAGGAGGAUUCGUUUGUGGAACUUCGAACUUUGAACAAGCAGGACCUCACUAUUUUAUGGAAAAUGGUGUUAUGUUUGUAACUGUCAG
rnacentral:lncRNA from 1 species